UUGGGUUUGGAGGGACAUCAAAGAUCAUCUGGUUCCAACCCACUGCCAUUAGCAAGGACACUUUCCACUAGACCACACCGCUAAAAGCUCCAACCAACCUGGCCUCGAACACUUCCAGGGAGGAGACUUCCACAUUUUAUCCCCAUGAUUCAUCGUAAAAUACACACAGCAGAAAGAAAAUCUCUAAAACUACAUACCCAAGAGCACAAUUAAAAUGGCAUACCCAAGAGGAUUCUGGCAUGGAUCUUUUCCCACAUUUUCCAGUGCUGAGUGGAAGGCCCACACUCCAGAAGCUCAUUAAAAGGGCCAAGUUACAGUACAGGUUUAUUUCUGUCACAGCGUUUCAAAAAACAGUGACAAGGAUUAAUAUGUUUCUUUGGUACUGGAAAAAGCCUGAUAUGAUCCCUUGUGAAUUUGAUCAUCUGUUUUGUUGCCUGUAUACGAUUCAAUCUCCUAUUAUAUCCUGAAGUUACAGCUGUAAACCAGGGCUGAUAAGAAUUCAGAAAACACUGCCAGAGACUGUAGAGAACUAAUUGUUUUAUUAAGCAGCAUCUUGUUUAUUUGCAAUUUAUUUCAAACGUCAUUCAGAGAACAAACUCUUCUUUAAAAUAAUAAAGCAUGAUAAAUCUGCUGUACAUUAUCUGUGACAGGCACUAUAUUGUAUAAAUAUGUACAAGUAAUUGAGUUAAAAAAUCUCUCAAACUGUUACUUCUAUUCUGUUGUUGCUUAUGAAUAGCUAUUUUUGAACAUUUAUGGAAUUCCUUCCAAGGCUUUUCAUAAUUCUGACAGUAAGCUCAGAUCUACAGAUUGCCUAAAAAUUCAUCUCCAUCUGAAGAUAGAGCCUGACAGUGUAACGGUGUGCUCCAGCCUGAUCUGGGGAAAGCAUUCCUAGGCAAGUGCUCUAGAGACUGACGAGGGGCCCCUCCUCCAGGAGCACAGGUAGCCCCAUGUCAGAAGUGCUCUAUGAGCAGAGCACCCUCCUGAGCCAUGGGCAGCAGAGCGGGGCACAAGAUCCCUUCUGACAAAGACUGAUAGUCUUGUCAGAGCCCCUCAGAAGCCCUGUGCCAACACACCUGAGAGUAAUGGUGGCUUCAGCACUGCCUCUGCUACCUUUGUGAUCAGAUCCAGACGUCGCCAAGAAUUACAGGAUGCUAUCUUAAAUCACAAGAUAGAACAGAUGGGCCUUGCUGCAUAUUUAUGAACUACCAGUAUAAUGGGAUCAUUUCUGGGAGUAAGAGGGAGAAGACUGAAUGUCCACUUUCAUUUACUGAGGAUUUUGGUAGGGAACAAAUAAUACUAUCCUUUAAAGAAAGCUUCCUUCAUGUUCAACCCUAAAGAAGGGCUUGCUGUCUUCCUCACUCACCUGUAGUAAAAAUCCUUCAUAUGGUUUGUUCCACUGGUUUCAUGGGAAUAUUCUCAAGAUGAAACACUUAAUCAUUGGCACUGUGGGUGGAGUUUUGAUUAUUUGUCUUAUUGCUGUGAUUCAUUAUCAUGUGUGUGAAAAUAUGUUUCAAUAUACCAUAAUUCAAAGCCCACACCCUUAGAAUGAUUUAACAACUGAACACAAUCAAACAAACAGAUAGAAAAUACAUGUACUUUACUGUAUAUGUCAGAAAUUAGACAAUAAACCCACAUUUUUUUAGGAGUGGUUCUUAUUCCUAAUUUCUAAAGUGCCACACCAGCAUUUUAACCCGCCAUUGAUUGUAUAUGAUUGUCUGUGCACAGCUAAACAGACCCUUGUUUGCAGCUGGCAAUUUAUUGCCCUUCUGCAUUACAACAAAGAAACACAAAAUGGUAGCCAAAGAGAAAACUGCCAGUCAAAACACUCUUGCUCUCUUAUUCACACUGUUGCUUUCUACCUCCACACUCCAUUUUUCUCUAACAACAAAUUUAACUUAUGAAUGAGAAAGGUUAAAGAAAAAAUAUUUAGUUGCCAAAAACAUGGCAAAAGUAUUAUAAAAAGAUCUGUUACUGUUAAACACUGUAUGUCCUUAGAAAAAUGCUAGGAACCACAAGAGUUACACUUUUAUCUAAGAGGUAGCAUAUGUGCCAUAUAAUACAUAUGUUGCAAUCACAGCAACUUAUUUUGCAUGAACAGCAGCAAACUCUGAAAAAAAAAUGUCCAGUGCUCAAAUGAAAGCUGUCAUCAUGUCUUCAUUUUAAAUAUGUAUUCAGCGGAAAAACAUUUUUGUAUAUUUUUUCUGAAGGUUGGGUUUGGGGUUUUUUGGACUACUACUUAUUAGCAUAAAAAAAGAAGGACCUUUAUAUUUUACUAUUAUAGGUUGUUUUGAAGAGUGUCAUUAAUGUUAACAUUUUAAUGCAUAUAUAAAUGCUGGGUUAAAGUAAUUCUUCUUGUUCACAUGCUCUUAUUUCUUUCUUCCAAU